rnacentral:misc_RNA from 1 species
CCGAGUUUACAAUUCCCAAACCCCUGUGAACAUACCUAUACGUUGCCUCGGCGGAUCAGCCCGCGCCCCGUAAAAAGGGACGGCCCGCCCGAGGACCCCUAAACUCUGUUUUUAGUGGAACUUCUGAGUAAAACAAACAAAUAAAUCA